UACGUAGGGUGCAAGCGUUGUCCGGAAUUAUUGGGCGUAAAGAGCUCGUAGGCGGUUUGUUGCGUCGGCUGUGAAAUCCCGAGGCUCAACCUCGGGUCUGCAGUCGAUACGAGCAAACUAGAGUGUUGCAGGGAGACUGGAAUUCCUGGUGUAGCGGUGAAAUGCGCAGAUAUCGGGAGGAACACCCGUAGCGAAGGCGGCACUCUGGGCCGGAACGUGGACGCUGAGGAGCGAAAGCGUGGGAGCAAACAGG
rnacentral:rRNA from 1 species